GUCGAACGGCAGCGCGGGUGCUUGCACCUGGCGGCGAGUGGCGAACGGGUGAGUAAUGUAUCGGAACGUGCCCAGUAGCGGGGGAUAACUACGCGAAAGCGUGGCUAAUACCGCAUACGCCCUUAGGGGGAAAGGUGGGGAUUCUUCGGAACCUGCCACUAUUGGAGCGGCCGAUAUCGGAUUAGCUAGUUGGUGGGGUAAAGGCCUACCAAGGCGACGAUCCGUAGCUGGUUUGAGAGGACGACCAGCCACACUGGGACUGAGACACGGCCCAGACUCCUACGGGAGGCAGCAGUGGGGAAUUUUGGACAAUGGGGGAAACCCUGAUCCAGCCAUUUCGCGUGUGCGAUGAAGGCCUUCGGGUUGUAAAGCACUUUUGGCGGGGAAGAAAAGCGCCGGGCUAAUACCCUGGCGUGCUGACGGUACCCGCAGAAUAAGCACCGGCUAACUACGUGCCAGCAGCCGCGGUAAUACGUAGGGUGCAAGCGUUAAUCGGAAUUACUGGGCGUAAAGGGUGCGUAGGCGG
rnacentral:rRNA from 1 species